AAAGACCUAGCAAUAGGUAUGCUUAGGGAGGAGCUUGCGUCACAUUAGUUAGUUGGUGGGGUAAAGGCCUACCAAGACUAUGAUGUGUAGCCGGGCUGAGAGGUUGAACGGCCACAUUGGGACUGAGACACGGCCCAAACUCCUACGGGAGGCAGCAGUAGGGAAUUUUCGGCAAUGGAGGAAACUCUGACCGAGCAACGCCGCGUGAACGAUGAAGUAUUUCGGUACGUAAAGUUCUUUUAUUAGGGAAGAAUAAAUGAUGGAAAAAUCAUUCGACGGUACCUAAUGAAUAAGCCCCGGCUAACUAUGUGCCAGCAGCCGCGGUAAUACAUAGGGGGCAAGCGUUAUCCGGAAUUAUUGGGCGUAAAGGGUGCGUAGGCGGUUAAAUAAGUUUAUGGUCUAAGUGCAAUGCUCAACAUUGUGAUGCUAUAAAAACUGUUUAGCUAGAGUAAGAUAGAGGCAAGUGGAAUUCCAUGUGUAGUGGUAAAAUGCGUAAAUAUAUGGAGGAACACCAGUAGCGAAGGCGGCUUGCUGGGUCUUUACUGACGCUGAGGCACGAAAGCGUGGGGAGCAAACAGGAUUAGAUACCCUGGUAGUCCACGCCGUAAACGAUGAGUACUAAACGUUGGGUAAAACCAGUGUUGAAGUUAACACAUUAAGUACUCCGCCUGAGUAGUACGUACGCAAGUAUGAAACUUAAAGGAAUUGACGGGACUCCGCAAAGCGGUGGAUCAUGUUGUUUAAUUCGAAAGGUACCCGAAAAACCUCACCAGGUCUUGACAUGCUUCUGCAAAG
rnacentral:rRNA from 1 species